CAAGUCGAGCGGACAGAUGGGAGCUUGCUCCCUGAUGUUAGCGGCGGACGGGUGAGUAACACGUGGGUAACCUGCCUGUAAGACUGGGAUAACUCCGGGAAACCGGGGCUAAUACCGGAUGGUUGUUUGAACCGCAUGGUUCAAACAUAAAAGGUGGCUUCGGCUACCACUUACAGAUGGACCCGCGGCGCAUUAGCUAGUUGGUGAGGUAACGGCUCACCAAGGCAACGAUGCGUAGCCGACCUGAGAGGGUGAUCGGCCACACUGGGACUGAGACACGGCCCAGACUCCUACGGGAGGCAGCAGUAGGGAAUCUUCCGCAAUGGACGAAAGUCUGACGGAGCAACGCCGCGUGAGUGAUGAAGGUUUUCGGAUCGUAAAGCUCUGUUGUUAGGGAAGAACAAGUACCGUUCGAAUAGGGCGGUACCUUGACGGUACCUAACCAGAAAGCCACGGCUAACUACGUGCCAGCAGCCGCGGUAAUACGUAGGUGGCAAGCGUUGUCCGGAAUUAUUGGGCGUAAAGGGCUCGCAGGCGGUUUCUUAAGUCUGAUGUGAAAGCCCCCGGCUCAACCGGGGAGGGUCAUUGGAAACUGGGGAACUUGAGUGCAGAAGAGGAGAGUGGAAUUCCACGUGUAGCGGUGAAAUGCGUAGAGAUGUGGAGGAACACCAGUGGCGAAAGCGAC
rnacentral:rRNA from 1 species